GUGGAGUGCCCAGGCUGGCCUACCAACUGCACCAGAAAACCAGAAGGUCCUGCGUGCCCGGAGAGCUCCAUAAAGAGCCCCUUGUGCCUGAGCAGGAACGCUGGGGCAGCCGGGAAGUGCUGCACUCACUCAACACCGGGCUCCUCUUACUGCACAGCCGGCUGCCUUUCCAGGGAAUUUAGGAAAACGAGCCCAGUGUUAAGGAGAGAAACACUGGUUUGGGACCCUGAGGUGCAGUGAGGAUGGAUGGAUUCAGAAAAUUUGCAAAGAUGCAGAAAAUUUGGAUGCAUUCCAACGCCAGGGGUUCAUGGUGAGUCCUGUUCCUUUUGGGUCUGGCACUGAACAUUCCCAGAAUAAACCGCUUUCCUUGCCUGAGAGACCUCCAGCCACCAGGCAGAGGAUGUGUCACGGCAGCAAUAAAGUGUUGGGAAAUCAGGUCUCUCCUGGCCUGUAAUUCCCAUUCUGGAAGGGAUUUUCCAAAGCAUCAGAUUAAA